GGGCACUUUUAAAAGUUUCUCUUAUCCCUGGUUUUGAGCAAUGUGAUUAUAACGUAAUCCGGUGAGGUUUUCUUUGUAUUUCUUGUGGUUAAGUUUGGUUGAAUUUCCUGGAUCUACAGGUUUGCAGUUUUCAUCAAUUAAGAAAAUUGUCAGUCAUAAUUUGUCCAAGUUAUUUUUCUGUCCAUCCUCUUUUUCUCAACUCUUUCAGGGACACCAGUGACAUGAAUAUUAGGCCAUGUAAAGUGGUUCCACAACUCCCUAAUCCUUUUUUAAAUAAGUAUUUUAAAACAUAUUUUUCUGUUCAUUUAAAAAUAUGUAUUUUAUUUUUGUUUUUUAAUGCUAUGUUUUCAAAUUUGUUAUUAUUGUUUUUCUGCAGCAUCUUAUCUGCAACUUAUAUCAUCCAAUGUAUUUCAUCUUAGAGACUGUAGAUUUCAUCUUUACAAGUUUGAUUUUGGUAGUAAAAAACAUUUUUAUCUCUUUCUUUACCUUUUACAAUGCAAUUAUAAAUUCCAACUUAUCAUCUUUAUCUGUUAAUUCUAACAUCUAUGGAAGGCCUAUGUUGAUUUGCUUGAUUUUCUUUCUUUUCAUGGGUUGUAUUUUUAUACUUCUCACACCUGGUCAUAUUUGAUUAGAUGACAGUCAUCAUAUAUUUUAUUUUAUUUUGUGUCUGAUAUUUAUGUUUCUGUAAUUAUUCUAGAGCUAUGUUCUGGCACACAGUUAAAUCAUAUGAACAUAGUUUGAUUCUUUUGGAUCUUCCUUUUAAGAUUUGUUAGUUGGGUCUGGAGCAAAGCUCAAUCUAGGUCUAAUUAUUCCCUAUCGAAUGCUCCAGUAAUCAUGAGGUUUUCCAAGCUGGCUAGUAAGGAUAGGCACUACUCUCAGUUUUCAUCAUUGGAAAUGGUAACAUCUGACACUUUUGGAUCCUUCUUUCACUGGUUUUUGGUAGUUUAUUAAUGAUCUUCAAUGUUAUUUCUGAGUUGAAAGUGGAAGUCUUAAGUUUGCCACUUACUCAUUAUUUUUACAUCAUGGCCUCAUCAUUACCUCUCAAACAGAGCAUAGGAAAGAGCAGGUUAUGGUCCUCUUCCACGAUAAGCCAUCUAAAUUUUCACAACAUGAAGAACUUGGAGAACUGGCAAUUAUCUGGUUAACUGACUAACUGUAGAUCAUAGGCAUCAUUUGUUGCAAAAAUUAUUUAGGGUUCGUAAUAAUUCAGUUUGACAAUAUAAAAUCUAAUUUAAAUUCAGUAACAGAUUUUUCAUAUGACUCUGCUCUCUGUGUCACGGGGUAAAUGCAUGUGAUUCGAAUCAUCUCAUAGUAGCUUAGCAGAAUGGAGCCUAAUAAUUAGCUCAUUCAUUUCAGCCUUCUCUUUGGUGGUAUUAUAUUGUACUGAGUACAGAGUGAAUGAAUGAUUCUGAUGAUUAUAAAGGCCAUUGAAGAUCUGUACUAGUCACUUCCAUUUGCCUUUAAAAAAACGUAGUUUCAGCUUUACUUUCAUAGUUCCAGGAAUACCCGGCUACUUUUCUUUAUUAUUUUAUCUGUAAGGAUGAUAAAAUCAUCGAUAAGACGUUUGUCUUGCUCAUUUAAAAAUAUCCUUUUUCUCUUCACACAUCCCCCAAAUUACAUAAACUUUUCCAUUCUUAAUCCAAUGACUUAAACAACUGUUGUGAUUUCAUAAAUGGAAGCAUUUGACUACAGGUGGGGAUUAAUUUGCAAGGGCAGGAAAACUGUUGAAAACAAAGAGCUAGUGUCCAAGUAAAUAUCUCUUGAGAAAUUAGGAAGUACAAGCUACACUGCAUGAGAAGAAUUGUUACUGAGUGUAAUGGUUUAAAGAAUUCCAGGUGGUCUGCGUGGGUCAUAAUGCUAGCAUUUUAUCUUGGAAUAAUCUUUCUUCUUUUCUUUUCUUUUUUUUUUUUUUUUUUAAAGAACUAGUGCUGCCCCUGCAAAGUGCCAGAAAGUUUGUUCAUAUAGGCUUAUUAAGUCUAUAGCUACAUAAAACAAAAUAAAAUGUGAAGGGAUAAUCUGUUAGGAAAGUGUUUCUUUUAUACUAAGUAUAGAGAUUUUAAAAAAGGCCAGAUAAUUUUUGAGGUGAUGAUGGAUAAAGGAGGCUUGCAUAAUCUGGAUCAAUGCCUAAUUUAUCACUUCACUUUCCUCAUGGGAGUACAGCUGUAGUGUCCACAGGUUGAAACAUCAAGGAUUUUCUAAUUUUUUUUUUUUUGUUGUUGUUGGAGGAGACAGAGAUCAAAGUCUUUUUUUCUUUGGUAGAUAAGGAAAUCUAUGCUGGUAAAUCAUGAACAGAAGAGAAGAUGGGGGUGGAUGGUAAGGAAUGAUGAAACAGAAACAAUUGGCUUAAACCUCAUGAGCUGCCAUCUUUUUCUCACUGCUAAGGUGGCCGUUAUAAUUCACUCUACAAUAGGCUGUAGCAAUUUCUGCUAAAAAUAGCCUGUUCCUUUCUUCAAGGCAAACGAGCAAGUUUUACUUACAUUUUUAUAGCCGAUUAUUUCAUACUCUAUAUUAAUCCUCCAUUCUUCCCAUUGCCUUGAGAGAAAACUCCUUGGCAUGGCUUCUUCUGCAGUCUAGUCCCAACCUAUCUCUGCAUUUGUAUCUCAUCUCACAUACCUCCAGUCACACCAUACAGUGACACUUUCCCCAAGCAUCAUGCAGUUUUAUGCCUCUUCAUUCUUAUGAUCUUUUCUCUACCUGGAAUACUUUAUAUCCUUCUUCCUCACCAAAUGCAUCCUGUUCCUUUUUUGAGACCCACCUCAAAUAUCUUACCCUCUUUGAGGCCAUUUUCAGCUUCCUUAGUAAGAGUCGUGGCUUCCCCUAUUUGUGUAACACUUAUCAUUAACUUCCACCCCAGAAGCAAUACAUUGUAUCUCCAUCCUAAUAAUUAACAUCAUUGGCACAAGUAGGCCUUAAGUAAAUGAGUAUAUGAAAAAAUUUCAAAGAAUGAGCAAAUUGAUAGUUUUUUUGCACAGUAUUCAGUUUUCUCUUCUCUUUUCACAUGCAUAAAUGAUGCACUGACCUCAUCAGUGGAAUUGUUCUAGUUUAUUUCCAGAAGGAUUUUGUUGCUUCAGGAACUCAGUGCCAUCAAAGAAGCCUUGAUAUGCUUGUGUCUUUUUGAGUUGGAUAGGGAAAGUGAAAUUAAAGAUCAACUGCAGAAACAGACCACUGAUGGCUGGAUAAUAGGCAUUGACUUGAUACUAAAAAAAGAAGGAAAAAGUGGCAAGGCAAUGGAACUGUCAGGGAACAAGGUAGUCAUGAGCCUAUUUGCUGACUUGAUCCUUAGUCAAAAACUUUGUAAAAUUAUUUUAGCAGUAAUCUCCCAGUUAUUAGUACCAGGACUACAGCUAAAACAAUUUCACUUAAUAGCAGUUAGAUAUUAUAAUUCCAACCACCUGGAACUGUAAUUCCCCCAUUACCUUCCUUCAAUAUUUUCACUGUCACAACUCCUCAAAAAUAACAAAAAAAUCUCUUUUUAUAGUGGAAUUACUAAAAUUGAUGUAUCAGGUUAUAUUCAUGAAUCAAUAACAAAUUUUUAAGAAAUAAUUACUGUUCUCAACUUAAUGGUUUAUUUAAAUAACUAGCAUCUACUUUUGUUGUUAUGGGUAUUAGCACAUCAAAACCAUGUUUGUUUAGCCUAGUAAAUAAAUUGUACAAUCGUGUUUCAUAUUUGUUUGUUUCCAAGGAUAAAAAAACAAAUACAGUAAGUUUGGAGCAUACUAGACCCACAGUCGAUGGAGCGGCCAAAUGAAAAAAAAGAAAAAUCUGCUUCCUUAUUUUAUUUAUCUCUGUAUUCUCGCUGAAACAGUAGAUAAAUUUAAGUAAAUCACAUGACUUAGUAAAGCCCUCUAGACCUUUAAAGGCACCUUACAGAUCCAUGAGCUAACUUUUGACUUGGCUCUUUCAGAUCACUGCCACCUCUCACAUGCCUCCUUUAAGUAGAAAAAAAGAGCAAAAAAUGCCUGAGACAACUGUGAAAUAUUUUGCAAGAUUUUAAUAUUACUAAAGCAAACUUUCAUUCCCUUUGUUUAGCAGCCAGCUGUAGCUGACACAAAUGUAUGUUGCUAACUGUGAGCCCGCCCUGAGCAUGAGAUUUUAUAGAAGGGUUUAUUUAUGGCUAAUUUCUUUAUCUUUAUAUUGAAUAUAAUACUUUCUAGUAUCUUUCGGCUUGUAAUUAUUUUGCUUCACAUCAAAGAACAACAUUAGAAAUUAAAGUCCAUUCACUGUCAUGUAUGAUUCAUGGCCUAUGUUAUAUAGAUCUUAUAAAAGAGGCUCAUUUUUCUUUCUUUCCCAGACCUCCUCCCUCUUCCUUCUGUUCCCUGCAGCCUAACACCCCCACUUCACAUUGUUCAGUUCUUUGGGUAUUAGUAAUAUAUACUAAUAUCUAUCAGCAAUAUAUAAAUGUCAAGGAAGGAAACUUUUUCCUGCUCACUAGCCUGAUCCAUAACCUAAGGAAACCGUAGUGUCUUUGGCCUCAGCAUAAUCUUUUACUAUGAGAUUGUUUAUGUUGACUUCCUGAAGCCCUUGCUUGGUACCAAGAUGUUUCACUUUCUUCUCCUUAGUGUAGAAUCCUAUAGCACUGUGGAACUUAUAAAUAAUUGAGUUAUUUUUAAACCAAUGGAUGUUUUCCAGUCACUCUAUUUCACACUGGAUUAAUUAUGUAAGAAAACCGAAUUGUUCCUCACCAGUGUUACAACUUUAAAAACAACAUGCUGUUUAAAUUCAGGUUUGGCAACUGUGGCCUGAGAGCCCCCUCAAAUUUAUGGCACCACACCCACAGCAUAAUAAAACCUUUAGUGGUCCUUUGUCUUUUAGCUUUCCUUCUAUUUUUUCUCAAGGGUGUUUUAUGCUGGAAGAUACAAACAAAAGUUGUCCAGAUGUUAUUUGUAUCAGAGCAGGAUUUCAGUCCAGCUAUCUGUGGUUGCAAAUGUUUAUUUUAAUGGGUUAUUGUGCAAUCCUUGCUGUGUAGACCUUCAUGGCCUUAUAUGCAUGUUCUCAGCAAUGCCAGGAUAUUGUUUUUUAAAAUAUAUCAUUUUAGUCCAAUUGAAUGAUUAGUAGUCACCAGGGGAGAAAAAUAUAACACCUGUAGAAACACAGAGAAUAUUUUUGUCAAUGUCCCUAUGUUGACACUGUGCAAAACUGCCUGAUUAUGAAACCAUGACCAAUGGGCUUUAGGUAAGCAGCAGGAAGGUGUGGUCCAAGCCCCAGCAACAGUCCCAGCCCUCUGAGACUAAGUUACACGGCUGCAGUAAACAUGCCAAGGGUGUCGGAAAAAAGCCCAGCUGCUGCCCCAUGCAGUUUGAUGGAAUGAAAGAAGAGCUUAGCUAAGUCACCGUGGUGUGAGCAGCAAGUUUAUUUUAGCUAUUGCAACAAGCACAGGGCUGGGCUUAUUAUUCAUUUUUAGAAUUCUAAUAAAAUCUUAACUAUGUUUCCUUGAUACUAAAGUAAAUUGUUUACUCUGUAUCUAAAAACACAUAUUAUACCCAAUGUACCAAUUAGCGGUGAGGAAUUUCUAGUCCUUAAAAUUAAUUUUGGAAAGAAAUUACAUCAUGUAGAAAUGGAUUUGGUUUUUAAGAAAGGGCUGAAUUUUAGAGCUAUUAGUUUUCUCUGAGAACUUAUUUAAAAUCAAAGAUGUUUAGAGUAAUCAUGUAGUGGACUCAUUUAUUGCUAUUAAAAAAACAAAACAAACAAAAAGGAAAAUUUAAAAGCCCUUAAAAUUUAAACUUGCAGUUAGAAAGGAUCCCUAAGAGGAAGAUUAUUCUAGACAUUUAACAUCAAGGACUAAUAAAGUCUCACAUUAAAGGUUUUAUUAAGCAUUUUUGAUAGACAUCGUAAGCAGAUGCUAAAAUAUUUACUUCAAAAUACAAGCUGGAGACAGUCUUUUAUGAGUCAGUUUUGAGGUAAAUUGAAUAUUAGUAUAAGUUUCAUAGAUAUAAGAGGCCCUGAUAAGAUUUGGUGAUUGAGAAAUUAGAGUUUAUUGUGAGGAAAUGAUUUUUUCAUAUUUUAGAAGCAGAUUUUAGGUUAUUUCAUAUGAUAUCAUGAAUAUGUCAGUCAUCAUUAUAAUAAUAGCACUGUCCUAUAUUUGCCUAAUAGUUUAUAGUGGAGAGAGUAUUUUGAAAAUUAACUCAUGUCUUUAUAGGUUUGUAUAUCUUAUCAUGUCACACUUUUAUCACUCCCCAGAGUUAGAAAUAUCCUCGAACCAUACUUGUUCUUCACAGGUGCAGAUACAAUGCUCUUUCUGUGAGAUUUUCCCCUAUGUACUCAAAUUGUUUAUUGCGCCUACAUAUCAAGGGCUAGAACAGAGCCAACACAUAAGCAACACAUAUGUUGCAUUCAUAUUCCAAAUUAUAGGACUUGUGUAAACUAUUAAAUAAUCUCUUUCAUUUCUCUACAAAGAUUACAUGUAAAAACAGUUGAAUAUGGCAAUUUUGGCUAAAGAGAACACAAGAAGAGAAGAAAUGCAUGCUGUCACUUUCUUCUUUCCAUCUAGGACGAUUUAACUACCACUGCAGUCGAAGCCCCGCAAACCCGAAUGCCUAGUGUCUUAGUUUGGGUUUCCCCAGAAGCUGAACCAGACAUAAGGACAUGAGGGCAAGCAGUUUAUUUGGGAGGUGCAGGAAACACUAGUUGAGGGUGGUAGGGGAGAGGCCCAGGGAAGUGAAGUCAUCCAUUAAAGAGUGCUUUAUUAAGCUAGCUAUCACUGUGUGUGGCUGGAGCUUAAUCCUGCAGGGGACCUCUGGAAUAUCGUAGAAAACACACACCUCAGAAUGACCCCAUCUGAGAGCUGCAGUGAUGAGGAAACUGAAACAGAAAAUCCAGAGUAAAUUCCACCAGGCCACACAGAGAGGCCUGAUAGAGCCAGGAGAGACUUUAUGAAAUCCAGACUCUAAGACUAAUGUUCUAUCAGCUAGACCUCCAUGUGAGUCUCCCUAAUGUAGGUAGGAAGAGUUCUCCCUAAAAUGCUCAUAAAGCAAAUCAGAGCAAUGCUUCCUUCCAUGUGAUUUCUAAUUUGAAAUGCAAAUAAUUACCAAUUUGUUUGACUUGUAUUUAUAAUUAUUUCCUUGUGAAUUACUCAUCACUAAAUGCUUUAUAAAUAUUUUCUCUUUUUUUUCUCAAUGUCUAUGGAAUGAUCACGGCAUAGAAAAUGUUGGCUUUCAAGGAUUUAUUAAUAUCUCUUUUUGAAAUAACAUGUAUUUGUAAGAUAGAAUAAAAUCACUUUAAAGAAA